GGUGGCAUAUGAUGCAUACAUAAUCUUAUCCUACACACUGAAUGCAAUGUGUGGACCAAUACUCCGCUUAUUAUCUGAUGCCACA
rnacentral:snoRNA from 1 species